GUAAGGAAUAUUGGACAAUGGACGCAAGUCUGAUCCAGCCAUGCCGCGUGAAGGAUUAAGGUCCUCUGGAUUGUAAACUUCUUUUAUAAGGGACGAAAAAAGGCUUUUCUAAGUCGUCUGACGGUACCUUAUGAAUAAGCACCGGCUAACUCCGUGCCAGCAGCCGCGGUAAUACGGAGGGUGCAAGCGUUAUCCGGAUUCACUGGGUUUAAAGGGUGCGUAGGCGGUCAGGUAAGGUAGUGGUGAAAUCCUAGAGCUUAACUCUAGAACUGCCAUUGAUACUAUCUGUCUUGAAUAUUGUGGAGGUAAGCGGAAUAUGUCAUGUAGCGGUGAAAUGCUUAGAUAUGACAUAGAACACCUAUUGCGAAGGCAGCUUACUACGCAUAUAUUGACGCUGAGGCACGAAAGCGUGGGGAUCAAACAGGAUUAGAUACCCGUGUAGUCC
rnacentral:rRNA from 1 species